GAUGAACGCUGGCGGCGUGCUUAACACAUGCAAGUCGAACGAGAAGUGAAGACGGAAACCUUCGGGCGGAAGGCUUUAUUUCGAGUGGCGGACGGGUGAGUAACGCGUGGGUAACCUGCCUCAUACAGGGGGAUAACAGUUGGAAACGACUGUUAAUACCGCAUAAGACCACAGCACCGCAUGGUGCGGGGGUAAAAACUCCGGUGGUAUGAGGUGGACCCGCGUUCGAUCAGCCAGUUGGCGGGGUAACGGCCCACCAAAGCGACGAUCGAUAGCCGAUCUGAGAGGAUGACCGGCCACAUUGGGACUGAGACACGGCCCAAACUCCUACGGGAGGCAGCAGUGGGGAAUAUUGCACAAUGGGGGAAACCCUGAUGCAGCGACGCCGCGGGAGUGAAGAAGUAUUUCGGUAGGUAAAGCUCUAUCAGCAGGGAAGAAAAUGACGGGACCUGAGUAAGAAGCCCCGGCGAACUACGU
rnacentral:rRNA from 1 species